rnacentral:lncRNA from 1 species
UAUUUAAGGAAAAAACAACUAACUGGAAGGUCCAUCUCCUGCUUGUUUGCCUUGCCUAUCUGAGAAAUGGAAUUUAAAUUACCACGUUGCUUUAGGAGCAGUUUGUAAUCCCAGUAUACCAAAGUCCUUGGUUUUUCAUGGGAUGGGAACAGCAGAUAAUCAGAGUUUCUGCAGUUAGCAGAAAUGAUGUCGAGUGUAAUGGCAAGAUAUGCUUUAAAGCAUUAUUGUUGGAGGUGGAAGCAUACAGCUGCAGAACCAGCCAUCCUGCCUUUCUGGGAGGACACACCGAAGGACUUGCUUGCAUCAGCUUGCUAGGAUCUGCAGGGAAAGGUGACCUGCGCCACAUGGUGACACGAGGACAUUGGAUAAUAUUACACAAGUGCUGCACCUCAGCUGCUCCCACUGACAUCUAUUGGAUCAUUGGACACGUAAAAUUUCUCUGACACUUGUGUUUGCCAGCAGAGGAGCCCAUUAAAUACAUGACUGGUAUAAAUGAACCUCUUUGCUUGGGUGGGGAAGACAAUGACAGGGAAGAUGACCCUUAUUAAAGGUAAGACACAAUUUAAGUAAUUCUGUCUUUUGUUAAAAUGUUUUUAUGCAAAGCAAGGUUUCUUCAUGUGAGCAUCUUCCUAUAUGCUUAUUUUGAAAAAGUGUUUCACCAGUGGUGAUAACGACCAUCAAAACAUAAAUUACAUUGCUAAGAACUUAGAGAUUUAUGGUCUUGUGAUGGAAAUGGCCUUUUUAUAUAACUACUUAUUUUCAAGAAGUAAUUAUCACAGCACACCCAGAGUGAACCUGUGUUGCUGUAAAUGCUGAAAGGUAUACAGCAGUGGAAUGCAUACCUUGAUGGUGAUUUAAUAGCCUUGGUGUCACUUCGGCAUUCAGUUGAGUUGUACUAAACUGUUUAUGUAGUUUUAGUUUGAGUCAUUAGAAUAGACUCUGUACAAUACAAGGCCAAUACUAAACAGUUGCAAUCUGUCAUGGUUCACUUUUAGUCUUCAGCAUUAUCGUUAGGUGGAAAUUUUCUUCUUUUGAUUUCUUCUGCUUUUUGAAGAUGUACUUAUUCUGUGCAUUGCACGAUAUGGUAU